UGCCCAGCUACUUCUAUCCCUACCUCCUCGUGGUACUGGCCGGGGUACGAGUAACCUUGGGGAAGAUCGGGUAAUCAACUCCGGUGGGAACUUUGGUCGUAUGCUGACAGGGAAGA
rnacentral:ribozyme from 1 species